UACAGAGGUCUCAAGCGUUGUUCGGAUUCAUUGGGCGUAAAGCGCGUGUAGGCGGUCCGGUAAGUCCGCUGUGAAAGUCGAGGGCUCAACCCUCGAAUGCCGGUGGAUACUGUCGGGCUUGAGUACGGGAGAGGCGAGUGGAAUUCCUGGUGUAGCGGUGAAAUGCGCAGAUAUCAGGAGGAACACCGAUUGCGAAGGCAGCUCGCUGGAACGUUACUGACGCUGAGACGCGAAAGCGUGGGGAGCAAACAGG
rnacentral:rRNA from 1 species